UACAGAGGUCUCAAGCGUUGUUCGGAUUCAUUGGGCGUAAAGGGUGCGUAGGCGGCGCGGUAAGUCGGGUGUGAAAUCUCGGAGCUUAACUCCGAAACUGCAUUCGAUACUGCCGUGCUUGAGGACUGGAGAGGAGACUGGAAUUUACGGUGUAGCGGUGAAAUGCGUAGAUAUGGGGAGGAACACCAGUGGCGAAGGCGAGUCCCUGGACAACACCUGACACUGAGGCACGAAAGCUAGGGGAGCAAACAGGA
rnacentral:rRNA from 1 species